GCCGGUGAGGUGUAACGGGAUGCACGUCAGGCUUCCACCCUGAAAGCAGCGAGUUCGAGGCUCGUCGCCGGCUCCA
rnacentral:tRNA from 2 species